rnacentral:rRNA from 1 species
AUUGAACGCUGGCGGCAGGCUUAACACAUGCAAGUCGAACGAGUGGCGGACGGGUGAGUAAUGCUUGGGAAUCUGGCUUAUGGAGGGGGAUAACGACGGGAAACUGUAGCUAAUACCGCAUACCAUCAGAUGUGCCCAGAUGGGAUUAGCUAGUAGGUGGGGUAACGGCUCACCAAGGCGGCGAUCAGUAGCGGGUAGGGGAGGAUGAUCGGCCACAUUGGGACUGAGACACGGCCCCGACGCCUACGGGAGGCAGCAGUGGGGAAUUUUGGACAGUGGGGGCAAGUCUGAUCCAGGCAUGCAGCGUGUCUGAAGACGGCCUUCGGGUUGUAAAGGACUUUUGUGAGGGAAGCGGUACCGGCAGAAGAAGCACCGGCUAACUACGUGCCAGCAGCCGCGGUAAUUC